UCCCCAAAAUGAGUGGAUUUGGUGACCAAGGAGUAAAAAUGAAAUGUUCACUCUUAUUUUUAUUACACAAAUGCUCCUGUGCUACAAAACCACAAUGAAAUAUAUAACAGGUGGCAUGUUUCCUGAAAUGUAGCACAUGCUCCUUAAAGUCACUGAGUAAUUUUACUCUCAGUUCAGGCUGGGGCUUAUGUAGCCACAGGGAUCCCCUGUGAUGUCAUAGCUCCUUAGAGGUCACCCUGGAGCCCUGGGCCCACACUGCUGGUGCCUCUGAGGGGUCUUCUACUCCAUCCUCAACCCCUGCUGCCCAUGGCCACAUACCUUUGGAGGGAUCAGCCCCAUGACCCAGGGCUCCUGUGAAAACCAAGAGGACAGGUGUGCAAACACCUGUGGGGUUCCACCCACUGGUGCAGGGGCUGAAGCCUCUCAGAGUACUCCAUGGAGGUACAUGGACGUACAAAGACCUUGAACACAAUGAGGAGUCUGUUACCUUCACUACAAACUUGAAUGAGUCAAUAACUCUCCAGGCUGAGUCCAGAUACCUCGGAUAAUAGUAAUUGUCUUAUUCACCUGGCAGGGAUUUUUAUGAGAUCCAAAUGAAAGGACCAAGAACCAAAGACAUUUGGAUCUUCUGUGCCAGAUCUGCUAAGAAUAAUAGACUUAAUCACGCUAUGGCCAAACUAAUAGAAUUUUUGUUUUUCUGUUGAAAUUAAAUAAAAUCUCUUGUGCCGUCUGUUCAU